rnacentral:rRNA from 1 species
AGAGUUUGAUCCUGGCUCAGAUUGAACGCUGGCGGCAGGCCUAACACAUGCAAGUCGAGCGGAUGAGAAGAGCUUGCUCUUCGAUUCAGCGGCGGACGGGUGAGUAAUGCCUAGGAAUCUGCCUGGUAGUGGGGGACAACGUUUCGAAAGGAACGCUAAUACCGCAUACGUCCUACGGGAGAAAGCAGGGGACCUUCGGGCCUUGCGCUAUCAGAUGAGCCUAGGUCGGAUUAGCUAGUUGGUGGGGUAAUGGCUCACCAAGGCGACGAUCCGUAACUGGUCUGAGAGGAUGAUCAGUCACACUGGAACUGAGACACGGUCCAGACUCCUACGGGAGGCAGCAGUGGGGAAUAUUGGACAAUGGGCGAAAGCCUGAUCCAGCCAUGCCGCGUGUGUGAAGAAGGUCUUCGGAUUGUAAAGCACUUUAAGUUGGGAGGAAGGGCAUUAACCUAAUACGUUAGUGUUUUGACGUUACCGACAGAAUAAGCACCGGCUAACUCUGUGCCAGCAGCCGCGGUAAUAC